UACGUAGGGGGCGAGCGUUGUCCGGAGUUACUGGGCGUAAAGCGCACGCAGGCGGUCCGUUAAGUUUGGAGUGACAGUUGGUGGCUCAACCACCAAAGUGCUUUGAAAACUGGCAGACUUGAGGGCUUCAGAGGGACACGGAAUUCCGGGUGGAGUGGUGAAAUGCGUAGAGAUCCGGGAAGAACACCGGUGGCGAAGGCGGCCCGCUGGGCAGGAAGACACCGCAAGGUGUCGGCUGACGCUGGAGGCGCGACAGCGUAGGGGAGGCAAACAGG
rnacentral:rRNA from 1 species